UUUUUUUUUAACCUCUUACCCUCUCUAAUAAGCUGCAUGCAGGUUGUUGCAUCUCAAGACUGGCCAGAAGUUACAAAGUAUGCUGGAUUGGUGUGUGCUCAGGCUCAUCGGCAAGAGCUCAUUCAAGAUCUUUACAAGACAUGGCAUGAUCCUCAAAGAGGCACCGUAACAGGAGGCAUGAUCAGGUCUUUUUUGAGGAACAAUUUGUUCUUCCAACCAAAAUUAAUUGAUGAAGCCUCCUAUUAAAUAGUUUAGGGUUACCUCCUACCGAUUAACUUAUUUUUGGUUCUGGUCUUGUUGUGUAGGGAGCUCUUAAUAUCCUUCAGGAAGGCCACUGGGCAAAAGCCAUUGAGAAUAAUUUUCUACAGGUAUGCUACUGCAAAUACUGUUUAUAAACUAACGUUUGUAGAGUACAGUAGUUAGAUAUUUGUGGAAUCAAUUUAAUCCUAUGUAUCUUCAACAAGUACUGAACCUAGUGUUUUUGUUCGCUAUUUGAAGUAUGAAAGUUGCUGUUAUAGGCUUCUAUUUGUAUAUCUGCUAAUAGUAUCGGUACUGCUUCUCUUCUAGGGAUGGUGUCAGUGAAGGCCAAUUCUACCAAGUUCUCCUCUAUGAGUUGGAUGCUAUCCGCAAGGUUAGAUGCAUUUGUAUUUUCUUUACUCAGAUAUUUUGUCCACUUUAUUAGGUUGCCUGACGAAAUGUUUUCUUUUAGGCAUGUGCAUCUCUAGAACCAAAUUAUCAGCCUCCUGUAACAUUCGUGGUUGUCCAAAAGCGUCACCAUACAAGACUCUUCGCAAACAAUCACAAAGACAGAAGUAGCACGGACAAAAGUGGAAACAUUUUGCCUGGUAAUUACUAUUCAUCACCUCUUAAGGCAUUUCAUUGGAUCUACUGCAGAUGAUAAUGCAACCAACAUAUUGCAAAAAUAUUUUUUUUAUUUUAACUAAAACCCUCAGUUUGUUGGUAGAACUGUUUCAGUGAUUUGAUACUUGUUUUCCUAUUCAUGAUAUCACAUUCACAACUGUUUUUCUUGGAUUAUUAAGGUAUCACUUUGGGUGAACUAACUUUUAUAUUUACUGUUAUUCACUUGAUUUCUGUAAUUGCUCAUGUGUUUGCUAAAAAACAGGAACUGUUGUUGAUUCAAAGAUCUGCCACCCAUCAGAGUUUGAUUUCUACCUCUGUAGCCAUGCUGGAAUUCAGGUAAGAAUAUUGUAGUGGUCCUUUUGUAAGGCUGACAUAUACUGAACUUGUCGUUACUCUGGUCCCCAUGUCUUCUGUGAUUAAGUAUUUGAGGAGACUUCAUAUUGUCUUUUCAACCACAAGCAGUGUAGUACUUCCUCCGUCCCAAAAUGUAAGCAUUUUUGAGGUUGGUACGGGUAUUAAGAAAGUAGGUGAGAAUGAUUGAAGAAGGUGUGUGAUUGAUUGAAAAGAGAAAGUAGGUGAAAAAGAAUGAUUGUGAUUGGUUGAGAGGAGAAGGUAGGUAGAAAAAUAGCUUCAUUUUGAGACAAAUUACUGUGCUAGAAAUAGCUACAUUUUGAGACAGAGGUAGUAGUAUCACAGUAGCUAGUUACUGUAGUACCUAGCAAAGGGCACAUCUGCACAUGCUAGAACAAACAAACUUACUAUACCAUGGUCAAAUUUUUAAUCAUGUGAUUGUACAUUAUAGUACUUGGAUCAGCAAAUAUUCUGUCUGUAGUAGCGCUGGAAUAUAAUUCCCCAAGUUUGUCCUCCAUGUACUGAAAUGACUGAUGUGUGUGAGUUUUCCAGGGAACAAGUAGGCCAGCUCACUACCACGUCCUUUGGGAUGAGAACAAUUUCACUGCAGACGAAAUGCAGACAUUGACAAACAACCUUUGCUACACGUACGGCAUUACUGAAUCUUGUUAAGUUUAUCCUUUGCACUCUGAGCUUCUCUCUAUAGAAAUUGUCUGACUUGGUACAUUUGCUGAUGCAGUUAUGCACGGUGCACACGCUCUGUUUCUGUUGGUACGUUCUUCUGAAAUGAUCUGAACAUUUUUCCAUCAUUUUCUUUGUAUUCAUGUGUUAUUAUUAGUUGGACACGAAUUCUGAAGGUGAAUCUUGCAUUUCUUUUUUCCUGGUCCAACAGUUCCACCUGCAUACUAUGCGCAUCUGGCUGCGUUUCGAGCGCGGUUCUACAUGGAGCCAGAGAUGUCGGAGAACCAGACGACGUCGAAGAGCUCCACUGGGACGAACGGAACCUCGGUGAAGCCAUUGCCUGCGGUGAAGGAGAAGGUGAAGAGGGUGAUGUUCUACUGUUGAUGACUGGGAGACUACCUUUAACUACUCACAUAUGAUGUACCUAACAUUGUAGAAUUUUAGUGGUAGGGAUUUAGAAUUAGCUUCCUUCAGGAAAGGGAGCAGAGCAAGCAUUUGGAUCCUGAGCGACCUCUUUUGACCACUCUGUAAAGUACUAAGUAACGCAUGUAUAAUAGUUGUUGUAUCAGUCUGAAAAAAAGGAAGUGCACUCAGUGCUUGUUUUUCCAGUUCUAGGAUGAUUUUCUCUUCAUGGUUAAGAUCUGGUAAGAGACUCAAUACACGAAUCCAUUAUCAGGAUAACACCAACAAUUUUCACUUAUAGAACAUAUUCGAAAAUUUCUGAGAAUAGGCUAAUAAUUCUCAAAAUAAAAAUAAAAAUAACCUGCAGGAUGAGCAUCAUUCGUUGCUGCCAUUAAGGACAGUAACUAAGGAUAUAAUGCUGAAUAUACGAAUCUAGUUAAGACGGCCUGAAGCAGGUCCACAGAACCCGACUUAAAAUCAUUGUUAGUUCAGAUUCCGGGCCACAUUGUAUUUUUACUGUGACUUGCAGAUGAACCUUCUUCCAUAAAUAAAUAUUGCAUUCACUUCAAAGUGAUGUUUUAUGUGUUAGUGAGUUUUGAGUGGAUAUGCUGAAUACAUCAACAAGAGCAAACUGAAAAUCCAAGUAUAGCAUUUUUAACAAGCUGACAAAUGACAGAAUCAUGCUGCGAUGAUAAUGUUCGUCCAUCCAUUGUUAAGAAGUUAUGGUUGCACAUUAGAUAUAAUCAUCUGCACUGAUAGGCAUAGGCAACAACAGAAAAAAAAAUACUACUGGCAUUGGUGUCUAACCUUGUUUUUUCAUCUGCAGAACCGUGUUCCAUUUCCUGGCAAGAGUAAAAAAAAUCCAGCUCUGCUACAAGCCUGAAACAAGCUAGCUGAAGUUCAGUAGUCCUCAAAUUAACUAACUGUACAAGCCUGAUCACUCGAAUGUCUGUUCAGACAAGGUUCUUCAAAAUUGCUAAUGAAACGGCUUCCAGUGAUUGAUCAUGCUUCUGUUGGUCCAGUCAAACUAAUGGAUGCUUCAACAAUUCCUUUGUCCAAGCAUUAUAUGCUUCAACAACUCCUCAGUACCCCUUCACCUCAAUCAAGCUACACCCUGCAUUCUUCUUGACAGUAGGGUGUGCCAUCUUGCCCCGUACCCUUAUCACAUCCUCCCAUCUACUUGCUGUUGCAUAUACAUUAGACAUGAGCAAAUUCACAUCAGUAAUUUGGGAAUCUUGCUCACAGAUUCGUUUGGUUAACCGUUCACUCAUCUCAACAUUCCCAUGAGCCUUGCAAGCAGUGAGGAGUGCACCAAACAGUGGCAUAGCAUCCUUGUUAAUUGGAACGUCACCGAUCAACCUCUCAGCUUCAUCUAGUAGACCAGCACGACCUAGGAGGUUCACAAGGCAGCUAUAGUGUUCAACUCUUGGUUCUAUCUGAUAAACCUCCCUCAUUGCAUGGAACUGCUUCCGGCCUUCAUCAACCAAGCCACCAUGGCAGCAUGCACUUAGCACCCCAAUAAACGUAACACCGUCGGGCUUAACUUUACUUCUCUGCAUAUCUUGAAACAGUUCAAGAGCUCUACCAGCCUGACCAUUUGUGGCCAGCCCACAGAUGAUGGCAGUCCAAGCUGUGGCAUCUCUGCCUUGCAUUCGCCAGAAGACCUCUAGAGACUUCUCAAUGUGCCCACAUUUAGAAUACAUGUCAAUCAAUGCGGUGCCUAGGACUGCAUCGAUCUUCAUUUUCCUUUGUUCAGCAUACUGGUGAAUCCAUUCACCUUGAUCAAGAGCGCCAAGAUUGGCACAGCAUGUCAGGAGAGUGACAACAGUGAACCUGUCUGGCUCAACCCGUUGCAUCUGCAUAUCUCGGAACAAUGUCAGCGCCUCCUCGAAGCAUCCGUGUUGCACACACGCAUUGAUCAUUGCAGUCCACAGAAUUAGAUCCUUCUCUUUGCACUGGUUGAAGAGCACUCUGGCCUUGUCCAGCUGCCCAGCAAGGCCAUAUCCCGACACAAGUAUGGUCCAAGAAAUUAUGUUCCUCGCAGGCAUUUGCUCGAACAAUUUCACCGCCUCUUCCAAGCAAUCAUUCUUCGUGUACAUGUCCAGCAGAGCAUUUGCAACUGGCAGAUUGAAACCGAAGACGUUAUCCAUGUACACAUGAAUCCUCCUUCCCAAGCUCAGGUCCCUUGCUCUAGAGCACGCCGUCACCGCCGUCACCAACGUCACCCUGUCAGGUGUGACACCGCUUCUCUCCAUCUGUUCAGACAAAGCAACUGCCGCCGAGUACCACCCGCACCUGAUGUAGCACCUGACCAUCAUGUUCCACAGCACCAGCGCCCUACUCGGCAUUUCGUCGAACACCUUCCGCGCGAUGUCCACGCGCCCCAGCAUCGUGUACAUCUCCAUCAGCGAGCUCCCGGUGUAGGCGUCCCACCGGAACCCGGUCUUGACAGCGGCCGCGUGCGCCUUGCGCCCCUCGACCGACAGCUUGAGGACCCCGACGGCCCUGAGCACGAACGGGUAGGUGAAGCUGUCCGCCACGAGUCCCCGCGCGCGGAGGUCGUAGUACACCGCCAUGACGCGCGCGAAGCUCCCCCGCCUCGCCAGCGUCCUGAUCAGCACGUUGCACUCCCAGAGCGGCAUCCCGUGGCCCCUCCUCGCCGCCGCCAUUGCCAUCGCGCGGGGUGGGUGGCGGCGACGCGACGCGGCCAAGACGUGGGGGGGGAAUCUUUUCCUAUAUAGAGAGCGGAAAGUCACAGCCUCACGGGAGAGAAGGGUAGGUGUUUGUGUGUGUGCCUCUCUCUCGAGUCUCGAGAUGGUGGGGAAGCGAGUGGCGGUGGUGGUGGGAGGGAGCGUGGCGGGGCUGGCAUGCGCGCACGCGGUGGCGGAGGCGGGGUGGGAGGCGGUGGUGGUGGAGAAGGCGGCGGCGCCGGGGGCCGGGAGCGGCACGGGCGCCGGGCUGGGGCUCGACGCGCAGUCCAUGGAGACGCUCGCCCGCUGGAUCCCCGGGCGCCUCGACGCCGCCACGCUGCCGCUCGCCGUCGACCUGGUAAGCUAAGCUCCCCCCUGUAAAUCCGCCGGCCUCCUCCUCCUCCCUUCCCCUUGCCUUGACCCACCCGUGAGCGCGGCGCGCGCGCAGAACAGGGCGACGGACGGCGAGACGAAGGCGGGGAGGACGCUGACGAGGGACGAGGGGUUCGGCUUCAGGGCGGCGCACUGGGGCGACCUGCACCGGCGGCUGCACGAGGCGCUGCCGGCCGGCGUGACCGUGCUCUGGGGCCACCAGUUCGUGUCGUUCGAGAUGGCGCCGGAAGGGGACGGAGAUGGCGGGGUCGUGGUGACGGCCCGCGUGCUGCGCACCGGGGAGACGGUGGAGGUCGCCGGGGAUUUGCUCGUCGCGGCGGAUGGCUGCACGUCGGCGAUCCGCCGGCGAUUCCUCCCCGAACUCAAGCUGAGGUCAGCCAGAGGUUCUAGACUACUGAAUUGUUUACUGGUAGUAGUAUUAUUGUUUAGUCGCAUGAUUUUUUUUUUCAAUUUAGCUGCUCCCUCCGAUUUUGAAUAACACUCGCACCUUCUCCACCUCCUCGAGUUGGGUACUACUACUAAUUAUCGUGCCAUAUAAUUUUCUUACAACUCUAAUUGGGAAUAUAAAAAUAUGAAACAUACUUAGCAGAGUGAAUCCAAGCCCGGCCUGAGACCCACGUGCCCACGCUCGACUCACGCCGCAAAGUCUAUUGGACAAAACCCCAUGUCGGCAUGCCCGAUGGGUUCGCGUUGCCAGCCACCUCCUAGUCCCGUGUGCUGCCACGUCGCUAGCCAUCACCGCACCGCCAGCCGUCGCUUGCGCCCUUGCACCUCCACGUCAUGUGGCCAAGCUCCCUUCCCGUGCACCACCGCCGCCGCCUAGUGUAGACACUGGAGAAGAGUAGAAGACUGAGGGAGUGAGAGAUAGCAGUGAGGAGUAUAAGGUUUGUGAUUUGGGGAUUUCUAUGCUAGGGUUUCAUUUAGUGAAUAUAUAUAUUGCAUACAAAGGGGUCAAAUGGACUAUUAGGCCAUGUGAGGAGAUAAAACUAUUUAAGGCCUGAAAAAUAUAUAUGGGCUAAAAAAUUUUCAGGUCGGGCAUGGUUUACCCACAGGAAAAACCCGCGCGCGCCUACUAAGUUCGCGGGUAUCGGAUCGGGCGUGCCCACAGGCAAAAAAAAAAAAAGUUAUCCGCGGAUACCCAAACCUAUGAGCAAUACUGCCAUUCCUAAGAUUUUGGGUGUGUUUGAGAGAAGAGAUUUUUUUAAAAAAGUAUAUAAAAUGGGAUGAGCCAUUAUCAUAUGAUUAAUUAAGUAUUAAUUUUUUAAAACUUAAAAAAUAGGUUAAUAUAUUUUUUUUUAAAAAAUAACUUUUUAAAAUUAUCUUUUUUAAAAAAACGUAUGAUUUAGUGGUUCGGAAAACGUAACGAGGGAUUUCUUCUCUCUUUCAUCCUAAGGAACAGCCUUAGUGAUAUUAAGGAUUUACGAUUGCCUUUCAUCUCUUUCAACGUGUGUUUUCGGGCGCAUUCGUGGACGAUAGUGUGGUGCAUGAGUCGUGAUGGUGUGUGCGUGUGUUUUUCUUCCAUUAAUGAAAGGAAAAUAUUAGCUGAGUUUUUCAGUAUUUCAAUAUAAUAUCAUGUCAAAAUGGGCAAACUUAGCUAAGAUUGUUUUCGAUUUUCUGAUUAUUUUUCAAUAAUGUAGGUACUCUGGAUACUGUGCAUGGCGUGGCGUCUUCGAUUUCUCCGGGAAGGAGGGGUGCACCACCAUGGUCGACAUCCGGAGGGCCUACCCAGAGCUCGGCAACUGCCUCUACUUCGACCUGGCAUACAAGACGCACGCUGUGCUCUACGAGCUGCCCAAGAACCGGCUCAACUGGCUCUGGUACAUCAAUGGCGAUGAACCAGAGCUCAUGGUAAUUGUCAAUCGAUGAGAAAUAAAUCAGUGUGUUUAUCCCUCCUUUUCCGAUGUGAUUUGGUUCCGUUUGGUGUUGCAGGGGAGCUCGGUGACGAUGAAGGUGAACGAGGCCACGGUGAGCGAGAUGAAGGAGGAAGCCGAGCGCGUGUGGUGCCCCGAGCUGGCGCGGCUGAUCGGCGAGACGGCGGAGCCGUUCGUGAACGUGAUCUACGACGCCGAGCCGCUGCCCGGGCUGUCGUGGGCGGGAGGGCGGGUGGCGCUGGUCGGCGACGCGGCGCACCCGACCACCCCGCACGGGCUGAGGAGCACCAACAUGUCCAUCCUCGACGCCCGCGUGCUCGGCUGCUGCCUCGCGAGGUGGGGCGGCGAUGGCAACGCCGAGCCGACGUCGACGCCGCGGCGGGCGCUGGCCGAGUACGAGGCAGCGCGGCGGCCGGUCGUGGCGGCGCAGGUGCUGCACGCGCGCAGGCUCGGACGGCUCAAGCAGGGCCUGGGCAUGGGCAGCGCCGGGGACGGGGAGGGGUUCGACGCGAGGACGGCGACGGAGGAGGAGAUUUCGCAGCUGCGGCAGAGCAGCAUGCCGUAUUUCAGUGGCGCGCCAACCAUUGAGUGAUCUAAUAAAUGUAUUUUUGUGAAUUUUUAUAUAAAGAAAGAAAUGGCUAUCUCUAUCAUAGGUUUUCUUUACCGAAAUUUCAAAUUUUUAGCUCCUGCCCUGUUUGGAAUAAAUGAAAUCUGUACUAUUUUCAAUAAGAAGUUUGUUGUAAAUUUCACCAAAAACCGUUAAUUUAAUUUUAUUUUUCUUCUCAUAGGAACCGUUCAUUUCCGAAAAUGCUCAGGCCCGGGCAACCGGCGGGAGGUGGAGCAGGAUCAUGCGCACGUUCCCCUGGCCCCACCACAUGUCUCAAGAAAAUGUUUCACCCAGUGUACUCACAAUGUUUUACUAUAUAUAGAUCUGAUAUUAAAAUAUUCUUUUACAACAAAUUACCCACAUAUUUUGGAAACCCUUUAUUAAGGGAAUUCGUUUCAUUUUUUAUUUGCAGUGGCAUAUGUAUAGAUCUAAUGUUAUAGUGAACUGAAACAUUCUUUCGCUAUUUGCUGAAACAUUGUUUUUAUAUAAGGUGAAACAACGCCCGAUUUAAACGAAUGAAAUAUUUUCGAUCUACUUAGUGAAACAAUUCCGAUAUACUUGGUAGAGCAUCGUGCAACUGUCAACGUUUGAUGUCUCGACUACGGUAUUUGGACAGUAUGGGGAUCGUCGGUGCUAGGGUAUACGCGAGACUGAGGUAAAAGAGAUGGAGACGAUGAUUUUUAUACAGGUUCGGGCCCCUGAGCUAUCAGGUAAUAGCCCUACAUCCUGUUGGCCGGAGCCAAUGUUGCUUUUUAUUCACCAUAAUCACACCAGUACAAUAUGUGGGGUGGCCUAUCUAACUGUUGUCGACAUGGCGGUCUGAAGGUCUGACUCGUAGUCGACAACAGGGUAGCCUUCCUCCUCGAGCUCGCGCCCGACGGAAUCAGAGACAGUGCUAGAUCCCUACGGCCGGCCUCUGAAGGUACCGGAUAGGGUCGAUCCAGGCGUAUCUCUGAUGUCGAUAUCCGGCGGCUUGUCUUGGCGUAUGUAGGCUUCUAUGUUGAUUGUGUUGGGAGUUGAUUGUCUCGUGGUGGGUGUUGAUCGUCUCAUGGUGGGGGUCGAUCGUGUUGAUCGUGUUGAUCCUCCAUGGUGGGUGUGUGUCCCCCUGUCCUCCUAGGGGGCUUAUAUUUAUAUCCAUAGGUGUCCCCUUGUCCAAGUAGAACUAGGGAAACCAAUAUGAAUACAAUCCGAGUAGUCCUUGUCGUUUCCAUAUAGAACUCUGGUUGUCUUUCCUUAUCCGGAACUCCCUCCUAUAUCCGUAGGCUGUUUCCGUAUAGGACAUGGUAUGUGGUGGGUCCUGCCGAGAUUUAGUCAACUACUAUUAGGUAUGUGGUAUCCAUAACCCUGACAGUAGCCCCCGACUUCAAUGCAAAUGAACGAAUUCAUAUUCUCAAUUGCGCGCAGACUUUGGAGUAACUAUUAUCGAGCUCAUGUGAACGUUUUCGGUGAGUUCAGAUAUAACGUUAGACUUCCUUUGUCAGCUUCGUGCGGGCACCGAAAGGGUUUGUCUAAGUCAAUCUUUGAUGUUGACCGAGAAAGUACAGAGCGUACGACUAAGUUUCCCGUCUUGCUGUAAUCGAGAAUUUGGAUUAAAGUCAAGAAAUUUUAUCUCGGCGGGUACAUCAUUUCUUCAUUCCGCAUUCCUUGUCGAGAUCCAGCAAUCGUUCUCGAGCGAUCGAGAAGGCGUAGAGUCUGCGACAGAGCCUUGUCAACAUUGGUCGUACUCGCCUUAGUCGAUCUUGGUGUAGAACCAUAGAGACAUGGAGCCUUCGUCAAUGUCGAAUAUAAUUUUCCUGAAAUCAAUACUCAGAAAAGAAUAUUAGAUAGAAAUAGCCCCCAAGCGAAUGCUCAAAGGGUGACAUAUUAUAAUAUGACAGACUAAUGAAUUGAAUGUACAGACCAGUGUUUUGUAUAUGAGUGUCUUCUCUCUUACCGACUCCGAUCAGUCAGUUUGUAGAGUCAUACACUCUCCCUAGCCCCCAGCCUUGUCAUCGGAGAAUCAUUCUCGGAGGAUAAGGCUCUUGGACCCUUGACCUGCCUUGGUUGAAUAAGCACUGAUCCUAGCCCCCAGCCGUAAAGUUGGAAAAGUCAAUUUCCGAUUACACGGCUUAGUUAAUACGCACGGCGAGAACUCUUACACGACCAGAUCUUACAUGGUCUUUUGUCAUUACAGAUCUUACAUGGGCCUCCACUUACAUGGCACUCCAGCAACCGUUGGAUCUCUCCUCCCUUUCCCUUCCUUAUCUGGCUACAUUCCCAAAUUCUUGUCCCAUCGACCUAGCCGAAACCUCCCCUCUCCCCCUCCACAGCUUCCUCUGCCUCCUUGCCCUCGUCGGCGCCGCCUGCGGUGAGGCUCCACGCCUCCAUCUCGGCCGUGUCCGUUAGUUCUCUUUUUCCCUACCUCCGCGAGUUCAGCUGUUCGCCGUAGCUCCCCCUGCUACGUCCCGAGCUCCGCCGCCUCCGAUUAAACUGUUUGCGCCAUCUGGCGGCGGCCAGCAGAGUCCUCCCUCAGCUCCGCGGGUUUAGAUUACUGCGCAUUGAUAUGUGGACUUCUCUGCUUGCUUCCUGAGGUUAGUUAUGUAUAAUUUUUCCCUAAUGAUUGAAAAAUCUUUGGGACGAAAAUUUCCAAAAUUUGGCCGAAAAUUCCAAUAUGAUAUUUGGAAGUUUUGACCAAAAUUUUGGAAGUUUUCGUUCAGGGGUAUUUCUGUCAUUAUGAUAAAAAUCUAACGGAGGCUAACUAGACAAUGAUGGUAUAUUAUAGAAGUUAAGAAAAUUGUGAUGACAUAUGAGAAUUUGACAAACCCAGUGACAUAUUGUAGAACAUGGAUAAAAUCAGUGACACAUAAUGGAUUCUUUCUAUUUGUUCCCUUAACUACCUAUCUACUAUGGUGCGACAUGUUUAGAAAAAGUUAAAUCUUAUACUAUAAUUCCAUUUCUUACACAUUAAAUUAUAUAUACUUAUAAUAUAAUUUUCAAAUUAUAUAGUGCACUAUUCACAUUUUAUAUGAGAAAUAUGGAAAAGUGAUUUAUUAUCUAUUUAAUUAUGAGAGAAAAAUAUUAGUCCAAAUUAACAUAAACAUAUAGAAAAUAAAAAAACAACAAAAGAAUUACGGAAUUACUCCGCACACUAACUCUCUCUCCCUCCAUUUUCUUUUUCCCUCUAACAGUUAGUGAUCGCUAGAUCCAGCAAUAAACAACCCAGAUCUAGCAUCUCCGUUUUUUGUAAGGUUGGUUCAUGCCUCCCUAAGUCUUUGCAAGCCCAACAAUCCCAACCUCAACGACGACGAUGACAAUAGUGUGCAUGGCGAUAGGGGAGGAGAAAAGACAUGGCUAUAACUAUAGGGUGCAGCUACGCAUGCAAAGGCGGAGAGGAGAAACGGUGGUGGCUCAUAGAGAAAGAGCGCUGGUGGUGGUGCGUGGAGCUGUAGUUAGUGGUCGCGGGUGGUCUGAGAAGUUUGUUGUCGACACAAUCUCUAACUGAGUUUGUUAAUGUUUUUCUGAUAUAUGGGCCACCAGUCAUCAUAAAAAAUAGCAUAGUAAGGCCCUGUUUAGAUACCUGGCAAAAUUUUACGCCCUAUCAUAUCGAAUGUUUGGACAUAUGUAUGGAGCAUUAAAUAUAGAAAAAACUAAUUAUACAGAUUACAUGUAAAUUGCGAGACGAAUCUUCUAAGCCUAAUUGUGUCAUGAUUUGACAAUAUGGUGCUACAGUAAACAUUUGCUAAUGACAGAUUAAUUAGGCUUAAUAAAUUCGUCUCGCGGUUUACAGGUGGAUUCUAUAAUUUGUUUUAUUAUUAGACUGUGUUUAAUACUUUAAAUGUGUGUCCGUAUAUCCGAUGUAAUACGCCAAAACUUUACAUCUGGAUCUAAACACAGCCUAAAAAUAUUGAGAUAUACGUGGAAUAUCAGUAUAUGCCACUCAAUUCGCGGCCCUAUGAUCCAAUUCGUGUGUAACUUUGGAACCUGCCACGGGAGAGCGAAUUCCUUCGUUUCACUCCAUCCAUCCGUCUGCCCAUCCGUUUUACGCUCGUCCGCGACCGCCGCCGCCGCCGCCACCUCUACCACCGUACCCGAGCUCGUCCGCCGCCGUCUCCAUUAGCGUCGUCCACCAGCUCGGCCGCCGUCCCCGAGCUCGCGUCGUCCUGGUGAGCCUCUUUCUGAUUCAUCUCUCUCUCUCCCACCCCACCGGGACAAUUUCUGUCUGCAAUUUGCUCACGUUCGUUCGUUAACCCUAGCUUCUCUUCUAGAUCUGGAAGAAGCUAUUUCAGAGCCUUAACCUUAAUACAAGUAACAGUUUAUUGUUUGUUUCCCCCAAAAUUUGGGGGUUCCCAAGUUGGAUCCGCCCCCUGCUUCGUCGCAAGAGAAAUUCUCCUUUUCAUUUGAGUUUGUAGAGCUUUUCAAUGGAGUAUACAUCAAGUGAGGAUGAUGAGCUGGUUGAAGGUUACAUGGAUGUUGAGGAUGAUACAGGCACCAGCAAUACUGAUCAAGGAACAGGUCUGAUGCCUUCUGAGAUGCGUAGCAUCCUUCCCCGUCCGUCGUCUGUUGGCAACGGUCGGCUGAUGGCUGCUGAUGGGUUGGGCACAAACGAUGACCCAUGCCUAGGCAUGGAGUUUGAGUCCGAUGGAGCUGCACGGGCAUUCUACAAUGCGUAUGCGCUGCGCCUUGGGUUCGGCAUCCGCGUCGCCCGGUCGCGCAGCGAGCGGAGGAAGGGUGUUGAGCUACUUAUCAUGAAGCGUUUUGUGUGCCUGAAAGAGGGACAUCACAAGAAGAAGGAUGCCGAGCCUAGCGACAAGAAAAAGAGGAAGCGGCUCUCGAUAAGGGAUGGCUGUCCAGCGAUGAUGGAAGUGGUGAGGAGGGGUCCGGAAAAAUGGGUCAUCACAAAGUUGGUCCUGGAGCAUACUCAUGUGAUUCUUAGCCCAGACAGGGUGCGGGAGGUCCAGCUCCGUCGCCUCUCUGGAAAGUGCGCAGAGCAUGAUAAUCAAUUGCAGGAGCUGCGCCGGAAUGUGUUUGGAGAUACAGAUGCGCAAGGCCUUUUCAACUACUUGAAGAGAAUGCAGUCGGAGAACUCUGGUUUUUUCUACUCCAUACAAGUUGACAGUAAGAACUGUGUUAGCAAUGCAGUUUGGGCUGAUGCUAGAGCCAGAAUGUCAUACACAUACUUUGGGGAUGCUGUUUAUUUUGACACUACUUAUAGUAAAAAUGAGAAUAUGUUACCCUUUGCAGCUUUCACGGGUGUGAAUCACCAUGGUGAUACUGUUCCUUUUGGUUGUGCACUUGUUUUGGAUAGGACAGAAUCUUCAUAUACCUGGCUAUUUGAGACAUGGCUGACAGCAGUGGGUAGACGGUUGCCGUUUUCCUUUACAACUGAUGAAGGCAAAGCAAUUGCAUCAGCAGUUGCAAAAGUAUUUCCUCAGUGUUUCCAUCGUCUUUGUAGAUGGCGAAUUUUGUCUAGAUGCAAGAAGAAGUUGUCUGACGACUACGUGAGAUUUCCCAAUCUCCAUGAUGAGCUCAGAAGAUGCAUCAACGAGUGUUAUACUGAGGUUGCUUUUGAUAUGUUCUGGGGUACUAUUCUUGACAAAUAUGGCCUGAGGGAGAACAGUUGGUUGCGAUCAAUAUUUGAAGCAAGACACAGAUGGGUUCCUGCAUACCUGACAACAAGCUCCUUCUUUGCAGAAUUGACAUUGACCCAGAGAGGAGAAACAAUCGGUAGGUUUUUUAGGAAUAACUUCAGCACAAGAGUUCCUCUCGAUGAAUUUACCACUAAAUUUGACCAACACAUAGACAAUUUGUAUGUACAUGAAACUCAGAAAGAUCUUGGUUCAUCUCAUCCGGAACAGAUCCUGAAAACCAAUAUAGCCUUGGAAAAACAAGCAAGGAGCAUCUACACCAAUGCCGUGUUUGAAAUAUUCCAAACGGAGUUGUUUGAAGCAUUGCAGCAUUAUGCUGUUAAGGUUCAUCAGGAUGGACCUUACUCCAAGUACUAUGUUGACAGAGAUGAUCCUCCAACAAGGCACACUGUUUUCUACAAUGUUGCCGAGAAGAAGGCUUGGUGCGAUUGCUGCAGGUACGCUUUCUCAGCAAUAUUGUGCAGGCAUGUGCUUGGAGUUUUCAUCUUAGCUGGAAUCAUGGUGCUUCCGGAGACAUGCAUCGCGAAGCGAUGGACAAAGAGGGCAAAGACUGGGCCAGAAUUAAUUGGGCAUAAUCUUGAGAAUGGAAAUUGCUACAUGGAUUCUUCAACUUCAAGGUAUAAUGAUCUCAUUCAUGAUGCUAUCAAAUGUGCAGAGAAGGGAGCUGUAUCAGCAGAUAACUUCAGAGUUGCAAAGGAAAUACUCCGCAAAGCCUUCAUGGAAAUCAAGUGUCUUGGAGAAAAACUGACUGACGAUGACCUGCAGCAGGUUGACAGUAGAUAGCAGUGGUUAUCUUGUGAAGCAUUUGAGAGAUUGUUCCAGAUAUCUUUUACUAAAGGAUGGAAAUGAGGCGUAAUUUUGCUGUGCCACCAUGAGUAAAAGCAUUUGAGAGAUUGUUCCAGGUAUCUUUUAUUAAAGGAUGGAAAUGAGAUGUAAUUUUGCUGUGCCACCAUGGGCAAGCCUACCCUGUACUGACAAUGACCAAUUAACAUAUUUAACCACUGUAAAUCUAAUCCUGAUGUAUGCUGUUAGCCUGUCUGUAGAAUGCUAAUCUGACUUGUGGGAGUCAGGACUGUAAAUGUUGACUCGUUUGCCUGUGUUCCUCUUGCUGCUAUUCAUGUCAUGAUAUCACAACUCACAAAAAGUUAUGUUGGACUCGCCAUGCUUGUAGGGUUUUUUCUUCAUAAAAAGAGUUACAGACAUCGUUUCUUGUUUAUUUUGAAAAUUGAUCCAUUUGGAGUAAGCCUUUGUUGUUAAAUAUACAAAGUUUAUUGCGUUCUUUAAUGAGAAUUCGAAAUUCGGAUGAAUUCCUUCAUGCAAAAUCUUGACAUAAACCAACACAUUAGACCUUUCGUCUUGUUUGUUCGUAAUAAGCUUUCUGGUAGUAUCUGCUACCUUCCGAUUCUAUGGCUACAAAACAAAAUUUACAAAGCCCCUAUCAUGUUUAAACACGACAAAAAGAAAAUCUCCUGGCUCAAAUUUUAACACGCCGCAGAAUUCACGAAAAUUCAAAAACCAAUAAAAAAUCGCAAAAAUCCAACGGGAAAAAGGAGACGCAGGAGGAAAGGGAGAGAGAGAGAGAACAAACGGCAUCAAUGGCGGCCACAUCCCUCCUCUCCCGCCUCCUCAUCCUCCCACCACCGGCGCCGGCCGCCGCCGCCUCUCUCCGGCAGCGGAAACCCGCCGCAGCGCACUCCCUAUCCUCCAGGGGGCGGAGGCCCCGCCUCGCGGUACAGGCGGUAGCCCCCGCGGCGGCGGAGGAGGAGAAGGGCGGGCUGCCGGCGGCGGAGGCGGAGAGGCUGGCGGAGUUCCUGCGGGAGGACCUCCCCCACCUGUUCGACGACGUCGGCGUCGACCGCUCGGCGUACGACGACCGCGUCCGCUUCCGCGACCCCAUCACCCGCCACGACACCAUCGACGGCUACCUCCUCAACAUCCGCCUCCUCAAGCUCCUCUUCCGUCCCGACUUCUACCUCCACCACGUCGAGCAGGUUGAGCUGCUACCCCGCACUGCAUUUCCCAAUUUCAAUCGUAACAGAUUUGCAGCGCAUUUUGCGAAGAACUCGUGACUGGAUGGGUGGUGGGGUUUUUAGACAGGGCCGUACGAGAUCACCACGAGGUGGACCAUGGUGAUGAAGUUCGUUCUACUGCCGUGGAAGCCGGAGCUGGUCUUCACUGGCCUCUCGAUCAUGGGCGUCAACCCUCAGAAUCUCAAGUUCUGUAGCCACGUGGUUAGCAUUCUUGCUUGACACUGCAGCUUUUGGAACAUUUGUUUCUUCGAAUUAAUGUACGUUAAGAUUUUCUUUUAUUGUUCAUGAAAUGAAUUAGUGGUAUUUUAAUCCCCUGAAUCAUAUGUAUGGAUCACGUCUUACAGAGUCUACUAUAUGUUAGAACCAUAGGUCUCCUGCUUGCGACAUUCGAGACCUCUGAGAUGAAGCAUAUAUAUUAAGCAUAUGCAGCUUAGAAGUUAAAGUCUUAAAAGAGUACGGUUUCUUUUAUCAAGAGCAUUAGUAAGCAGUCAGUCUGGAGUAAGAUUUCGAGAGAUGAGAUCAGGGAGUUCCUGACAAAGCUUUCAGACAAGCUUUAGUUGCAUACUUAUGUUUAGCUAUGUCAAAUAACUUUUUAUUGUUGCAAUUCUCCACCGGAUACAGUUCCUCCUAUAAUGCAAUGCUUCAUAGUCCUAAUUCAAUUUGAUACUAAAUUUUAGCUUUUCAGGAAGCUUGUGGGACUAUUUAUUGAUGGGCCGGCAAAACAAUACUUAGCUUCCAUAGUCCACACUUGAUAAAGUUUACAAUACUCUUAAUAAUUGCACUUGCUGUGAUGUGCCGUAGAGUUCCUGGUUCUUACUUAUUUGUUUUUUUCCCCCCGUUUAGUGUGCAUUUUUGUAAAUAGAAGAUUAAGGAUACUAUGCUUCCCAGCAGAGUGUUGGAGAGAUUUUGUACAUACAGAGAACUCCAACACACUAAAUAAGUUUACCCAAGUAAUCAUUAAAUAUUAUUAUAACUUCCCAAUAUGCUGAAGUGCAGGAUAUUUGGGACUCAAUACAGAAUAAUGAAUAUUUUUCUUUUGAAGGACUGGGGGAUGUCUUCAAGCAGGUCAUUUGUCAUGACUCUACAUUUUUCUUAUAAUUUGUCAAACAAAUGUUUGAGCUAGAUCUUUUGAUUCUGCACAGCUACGGAUUUACAAGACCCCUGAUAUAGAAACACCAAAGUACCUUAUCCUGAAAAGGACGGCAAACUAUGAGGUAUUAACUUUAGGAAUUCAUUUUAUAUCUGUUCUGAAGUAACAGCACUGCCAUAUUCUCAUGAUCCAUGCUUCAUAUGAAUUAACCAUACUGAUAAGUAUCCGAAUUAUUUUACUUGAUUUUUGCCAGUGUAUAAUCUUUGCUAAUGUGAUCUCUAUAGUAGUCAGAACUCAGAACAUCUAAUUUAUAGCUGUUACUUCUCUGCAGAAUGUUUAAGAUGAAAUCAUGAACAUAAAUUCUUUUUUGCAGAUUAGGAGUUAUCCACCAUUCUUAAUAGUUGAAGCAAAAGGAGAUAAACUAACCGGAUCAUCAGGUUUUAAUAAUGUAACUGGGUGAGUUAUUUUUCUGUUACAGUAGAUAUUUAACCCUGUAAUCCUAGUACUGAUUACUUAUAAGCGCUUGUAAAUGUAGGUAUAUUUUUGGCAAGAAUGCUUCUUCAGAAACGAUUGCAAUGACUACACCUGUCUUCACUCAGGCUUCUGAUGACAAACUCUCAGAUGUAUCCAUCCAGAUAGUUUUGCCGAUGAACAAAGACUUGGACAGGUCUAUCUUGUGCAAUGCAGGAUUUCAGUUACUGACAGUGCGGUUUAAAGCAUUGAUUUUGGACAGCUGUGCAAAAUUAAACUAAAAGUAGUCUUAUGGAUUUAUUUCUAUUACUAAUAGUAGUAAUCUUGUUCAAUCAGCUUACCAGCUCCAAACACGGAAGCUGUCAACUUGCGAAAGGUAGAAGGUGGCAUUGCUGCAGUGAAAAAAUUCAGUGGGAGACCAAAAGAGGAAAUUGUGAUCCAGAAAGAAAAGGAGCUGCGCUCCCAAUUACUCAAAGAUGUGUUGAAGCCUCAACAUGGUUGUUUGCUUGCACGCUACAAUGAUCCUAGAACACAGAGCUUUAUAAUGGUAUGUUUCCUUUUGGGCUGUCCCUUAUUGUUUAAGCUGACAUGUGAUUUUUUUGAUGUACUUCACUAUAAUGAUCCUAAGACUAACUAAUGAGGUUUAUUUUAUGAUUAAGUGUUGGAAAGUUGAUAUUUUAUCAUCAUGCUUCCUUUCCCAAAAUUCCAGUUCAUUCUUUUUUCAGUUUUACAUUUCCAGUUCCUUUUUUUCAGUUUUACAUUCAUUGUUAUCUUUUUUAAUUCGGAAACUCUCUUAUGUUCUUCCUUAUCAAAAGAGGAAUGAGGUGCUGAUAUGGUUAAACGACUUCACGCUGGAGUAGUAGUCUUCACUGUCUACAACACAUUUCUGCAACAUAUAGACACUUAGCAUUGGAGCUUUCGGAGCAUCAUAGCAAGGUAAAGUAAUUGUUCAUAAAGCAUUUUGCGUGGUUUGGUAGUAUUUUAAAGCUGCAUGUUAUUUCCUCUAAAAAAGCUUUGUAUUCUACAUGUAAAAAAAAUGUAGAAACAAUUUAUGUAUCUAAAUGUAUCGUGCAACUUAGUUAUUCCCAUAGAUCCGUCAUGCCUUUUGUCAUCCAUGUUUUAAUUUUUUGCAUUAUGCUCACUUAGCUUUUGCAUUAUGCAGGUGAAAAAAAUUAGGAAGAUGCAUGGAUGAAAUGAUAGGAGAAUGUAAAUACCGAAAAGGUCACUAUAUUACAUGGUAAUUCUAGUCCAUAUGAAAAAUGUUUGUGUAUAACAAAAGUGAAAUGAACAAAAUGAAACUGUUUAGAACAAAAGGAAUAACCCCCACCUAGCCACCCUCAUUCCCAGUGACAUGCCUGGCUGUAACACGUCUCUUCUGUCUUUCUUCCUCUUCCCCACAUCUCCAAGUAACAUAAGAUGAUAAGAACAUACAGAAUAGGCCAGGGUUUGAAGAUCCGUCAGUUAAGAUCCUUACUAGGAUUCUUUCAUGUCACACCAAGUGACCAAACAACACAUCUUAAAGCAUUGCCUCCAACUUUGACCCCCCCCCCUUUUUUUUUGCGGGGACAACUUUGACACCCUUUGUUGGAACAACCGGUUACUUCAGACCACUUGGGUUAGUGUUGAGUUGGAGUACUUCGAACUAUCUAUGGAGUAUUAGGAGUUAAAAUUUGGAUAUUCGUAGACGAAGAAUAACCAACCCUGUCUUCCCAUUCUGUUCAGUAAUAGAAUAAAAAAUGACAAGAGCCUUAUUUUCCCUAAAAUCCCUGAAAAAAAGAAGAAAUUCUACCUCUUUCUAUAAGAUUUAAUGAAAAUUGAGAAAUCUUUUAAUAAAAUUGCUAUGCUUAGUGUGUGACUCGUUAGUUUUUUUUAGGGUUCAAAAAGGGGAUAAAAAAAAUAGAAUGAACCCUACUAUGUAAUUAUAGAAAAUGAACUAAUAACCAACCUAUUGCUUCGUAUUGUUGAGAUCCUAACUAAGAAACAGUCACUAUAUGAAUAAAUACAUCUAUCAUAAAUGAGUAAAUCUAUCAUAUACGUGUAGCAACUGCAAUUUUUUCUUUAAAAAAAUAGGAUUCUAAGUUGUGAAGCAAAACUAAAGGGGAUGUAGAUAAAAGGAAGGAUGAUAGAAAGAAGGAAGAGAAAUAAGAAAGAUAUAGGAUUCCAAUAUGUAUGGUCUAUGAAUUACAUCAUAAAAAGCAAUGUGAUAAAGCAUCAAUAUAAUAAAAAUAACAGAGAAUUCGAAAUCGUAAUUUGAUUGAAACGAGAAAUACAAAUUUCAAGGAAUAACAAAGAGCGUCCCGAGUUAAUAAAAGUGAGAAAUUGACUCGGAAAGAAAUUUUUUGGAAGCUCCAUUGCGAGAUUCAAACCUAACCAUUAAAGGAGAAGCAGUGGGAACGACAGAACCUAUUACUGGAUAGGAUUUUCUUGAAAAGAAUCCCAAUACUUCAUUGGGUGGGAUGGCGGAACAAACCAAAAAAAUUGUCUUAUUCGAUAAGGUUAUGAAUUAACAAAUAAGACAGGAAAGAGUAAAUAUUCGCCCGCGAAAUUUUUAUUGAAUUAGAAUACUUUACCGCGAUUCAAUAAGAGUAAAAUAAAAAAAAGGAGAUAAAAAAAAGAAUUACAUUAAAUAUAGAAUAUAGAUAAAUAAACAUACACAUCUAGAUAUAUUCUAGAUCCUCUUUCUUGACUAUAUAUUUUAGUAUUUUAAUAAAUUCAAUAUUAAAAACCCUAACCUUUCCUAUUAAUGUGUAUCUAUCCGUAAUAUUUUAGAAUAUUGUGGAAUUAGAGAAAUUUGCACACAUUUGAUUCGCGAGGAGCUGGAUGAGAAGAAACUCUCAUGUCCAGUUUUGCAGUAGAGAUGGAACUAAGAGAGAACCAUCGACUAAAACCCCAAAAGAACCAGAUUUCGUAAACAACAUAGAGGAAGAAUGAAGGGAAAAUCCUACCGAGGCAAUUGUAUUUGUUUUGGUAGAUAUGCUCUUCAAGCACUUGAACCCACUUGGAUUACGGCGAGGCAGAUAGAAGCAGGACGAAGAGCAAUGACACGAUAUGCACGUCGUGGUGGAAAAAUCUGGGUACGUAUAUUUCCCGACAAACCGGUUACAAUAAGACCGACCGAAACACGUAUGGGUUCGGGAAAGGGAUCCCCCGAAUAUUGGGUAGCCGUUGUUAAACCAGGUCGAAUACUUUAUGAAAUGGGCGGAGUAUCCGAAACUGUAGCUAGAGCAGCUAUUUCCAUAGCUGCCAGCAAAAUGCCCAUACGAAGUCAAUUUCUUCGGUUAGAAAUAUAACCCCCCCAAAAAAGUAGUAUUGAAAAUAAAAAACCAGGUUCUUCUUUCUGGAAAGACAAUAUUUCUUUCAUCCUUUUGCAUUGAAAUAACAAAUUGAAAUCAAAAUAAUAUGAUUCAACCUCAGACCCUUUUAAAUGUAGCAGAUAACAGUGGAGCUCGAAAAUUGAUGUGUAUUCGAGUCAUAGGAGCUGCUAGUAAUCAGCGAUAUGCUCGUAUUGGUGAUGUUAUUGUUGCUGUAAUCAAAGACGCAGUGCCCCAAAUGCCUCUAGAAAGAUCCGAAGUAAUUCGAGCUGUAAUUGUACGUACAUGUAAAGAGUUCAAAUGCGAAGACGGUAUAAUAAUACGCUAUGACGACAAUGCAGCGGUUAUCAUUGAUCAAAAAGGAAAUCCAAAAGGAACUCACGUUUUUGGCACGAUCGCCGAGGAAUUGAGAGAAUUGAAUUUUACUAAAAUAGUUUCAUUAGCUCCUGAAGUAUUAUAAAUACUAGUAGACAAGAUAUAGAUCAAAUAAAAAAUUAGUAGAUUGUGUUUCACGUAUAUGCUUUAGAAUCCAAAACGAAAAGAAAAAAGAGAACAUGUUGAUUAUAGAAAAAUUAGGAGGAACCUAGAAUUAGAGUCUUAUGGGCAAGGACACUAUUGCUGAUUUACUAACCUCUAUAAGAAACGCGGACAUGAAUAAAAAAGGAACUGUUCGGGUAGUAUCUACAAAUAUUACCAAAAACAUUGUUAAAAUACUUCUACGAGAGGGUUUUAUUGAAAGUGUUCGGAAACAUCAGGAAAGUAAUAGAUAUUUCUUGGUUUCAACUUUGCGACAUCAAAAGAGAAAGACUAGAAAGGGAAUAUAUAGAACUAGAACCUUUUUAAAGCGUAUCAGCCGACCUAGCUUACGAAUUUAUGCCAACUAUCAAGGAAUUCCUAAGGUUUUGGGCGGAAUGGGAAUUGCUAUUCUUUCUACUUCUCGAGGUAUAAUGACAGAUCGAGAAGCUCGACUAAACAGAAUUGGGGGAGAAGUUUUAUGUUAUAUAUGGUAAUCGCCCCGCCUAUAGCGGUAAUCGCCCCACCUAUAGUUAUAGUACCCAAAUUCUAUCUUGAACUUCCUAUUUUUCAAACAAAAAUACAACGUUUUUUAUUUGAAAAUAAAAAAAGAAAAAUAGGAGAAAAAAAUAUGACAGAAAAGAAAAAUAGGAGAGAAAAAAAAACCCGAGAGAAGCAAAAAUUACUUUCGAGGGUUUAGUUAUGGAAGCCCUACCCAACGGA
rnacentral:lncRNA from 1 species